rnacentral:rRNA from 1 species
UACGGAGGAUGCGAGCGUUAUUCGGAUUUAUUGGGUUUAAAGGGUGCGUAGGCGGACUGUCAAGUCAGCGGUAAAAUUGAGAGGCUCAACCUCUUCCCGCCGUUGAAACUGGUGGUCUUGAGUGGAUGAGAAGUACGCGGAAUGCGUGGUGUAGCGGUGAAAUGCAUAGAUAUCACGCAGAACUCCGAUUGCGAAGGCAGCGUACCGGCAUCCAACUGACGCUGAGGCACGAAAGCGUGGGGAUCAAACAGG